UAAAAUAAAGUGUAACUAAAAUUUAGUUCACCUCUAAUCUAAAGAAGUGAUUUUGCUUGAGGUGAGUGUAAGCGGUGAGCUAACUUCAAAAAAAAAAAAAAAAAGCUUAAGACUUGGAAGAAAGAAAAUGGCAGAAGCAGCAAACAGCAGAGAAGCACGAAGAAGGAAAAGAAUCCUCCAACAAGGUUCCGAUCGUCUUGCUUUCAUCAAAGGCCAAAUCCAAUCCCUCCCUUCUUCCGAUUUGCUUCACGGCAAGGAAGAAGCGGAACACUCGAAUCCCGUUUUGGAAAAUCACGUUCCUUCCGAAAGAACCAUAACCCAAACACCUCCUUUGCAUGAAAAACAACACACUCAAAAUGAAAUUUCAACUGUUCCAACUUCUGAAAUUCAACCUGAACCUGAAAAUCUUCAAUUACACUCACAACCACAACCACAACCAGAUUUAUCUAAUGAAAUUUUCCAGCAACAACCUGAGGAACCUAGAAGUUUCAAUUUCAUAAUCCCAAGCGACGUGACCAAUGCGAUUGAUGCCUCGAGUAUUACUCGUCUUUGUUGCUCCAUUUUCAUGGCUCUAUUAGUUGUUGCAUCAUAUCUAGGAUUCUCUUUGAUUAAGAGUGUGAUAAGUUUUAAGCCACUUUACUUAGUUCUGCUCACCAAUUUAACGAUUGUUGUUUCGAGACUUAUUUCUGGGAAACAAAGAGGAUUUGAUGAUAGGUCGAGGAGAAGACAGAACAGCGAUGAUUCUUCUGAUCAAUGGGGUGGACAACUUGCUAAAACAUUGGAAAUUGGUAUGGUGGUGAAGAGUGUUGUUGAUGCUGUUUUCAUGGAUUGUGCUGUCUAUGCUAUUGUUCUCAUAUGCAGCCUUUCGCUUCUGCGAUCGUGACCAAAGGGUUUCUUUUACUUGGCAUCGUGUAUCAUUUCAUUACCCCGGCGAAACUGCAAUCUGGGAAAGAAAUAAAUGGUUGCAAGGUUUUGAUUGGAAAACCAUGGUGAUGACGGAUUUGAUAUGAUAUAUGAGCAAUUCCAUGCUUUCCUGACCAUCAGCUGCUUCUGGCUCCACACUGAUUUUUGACAGUAAAGUGGCCAAAAUCUGCCUCUGCAUUCUCAGGAUCUUGAAAUGGGUUAAUAAUUAUUAUCAAGUAUCAACACAUUGGAAGGAAUAUAAAAAUUAUGAUUUCAUAUGGAUAUUGUAAGUACUACCUGGUAAUGUAGAGGUCCUUGUGGGGGUGGUUCUGGAUAGCAGUCACCCGGAACUGGAAGUGUGUACGCAGUUUGUCAGCGCCUUCACCUGAACCAGAGCCAGAGGCUCUUUUCUCUCCAUCCUCCCUCACUCCCUUUCCCACUGCUUAGAAUUAGUUAAAGCUGAUUUUCAAUAAGGAAAAGUAUAGGAGAAGACAAACCAUCCUCUUAGCUUUCUGUUUGUGUUUUCUUACUAUAUACAAUUUGGCUGUUUAUUUGAGAUAAAUGUUCUAUUUGCUA